CGAGCAGGCAGCAGGCACGAACCGCUCCGCGUGUGUCGUCUUAUUACGCCUCAAAAUGCGAUCGCGAUUAUUCUCUUGUAGUUGACGACUUAUCGUCUCGCGCGGUAGGUUAGUUAACCUCUGAACAAUGGCUAUUUAUCAUGGCAGCCACUUCGAGCGUUCAUGUUUUUCGAGAAGUAAUUGCUUGAAUCGCUGAAUAGCAGCCGAAUGAGAUUCGAUCUUUAAGUACGACUAAUCACAUUUGAGCACUAAUUACGUGAGCUUACCUGGUGAGCGAUAAUACCGAAUGUUUCCUUGUGCGUUGUACGCAUAAUAAUUCCUUUAGAAGCACUUUGAUAUAAACGUAUCUAAGCCUUGUUGAUUCUACGCCGUUUUUGCUCCGAUUGCGAGUGAGAGAGAGGUACGCAGGUUACUGGAUCUGCCUCGAGUAUCGAAAGCCGUGUGACGUAUCGAGCGUCUGUAUCGAUAGCCAACUUCAGGCGUAACAACGAAGCAUUCGACGUUUGGUGUAUGCAUGCAGUACGUCUUCCUGCAUUUCGUGACGGUUACGGAUUACAGGCGAGUGUUUUAAUUCAUCGAUUAAUCAAUCGCGAAUGCAACCUUGCUCCGUAAAAGCAGCAGCAUUUGCUUUGUCUCACACGCGUUUCUCCGCGACAUACGACGCCCGUUAGUGUUUACAUCGAAGAUUGUUUUUUCCGGCCGUUCGUCGACAUUCUUGGACGGAGCAGGUAGUAAGGUAUGCGCGCAAGUGAGUGUGUUUGUGUGUGUACAUGUGCGUGUAACAAAGGAAUCUGAGAGGAGGAGCAGGCCUGGGAGGCGUCAGGCAACGGCGGAGCAACCGUAAAUACUUCGGCGUGAUAUUCAACUCCGCUGCUGCGCCUCAUACCGUAUCACCGCAGUUUGUACCGUGGCUGAUUGUGAAUAACUCCGCUCGUUGCGCAUCGGGUCG
rnacentral:lncRNA from 13 species